rnacentral:rRNA from 1 species
GGAUUUGUCAGUUGGUCGGGCUUAACUGUCCGUAUUGACUCGAUGGAUUCUUACCUUCUGAAUAACCAGCAUGCUAUUAAUUUAGUGCGUUGGGGAAGCAGAUCUAUUACCUUGAAAAAAUUAGAGUGCUUAAAGCGAGCUAGUGCUUGAAUAGAUUAGCAUGGAAUAAUAAAAUAGGACGGUGGUCCUGUUUUGUUGGUUUCUGAAUCACCGUA